rnacentral:rRNA from 1 species
CGAGCGUGUACCGACGGGAGCUUGCUCCCUUAGGUCAGCGGCGGACGGGUGAGUAACACGUGGGUAACCUGCCUGUAAGACUGGGAUAACUCCGGGAAACCGGGGCUAAUACCGGAUGCUUGAUUGAACCGCAUGGUUCAAUCAUAAAAGGUGGCUUUUAGCUACCACUUACAGAUGGACCCGCGGCGCAUUAGCUAGUUGGUGAGGUAACGGCUCACCAAGGCGACGAUGCGUAGCCGACCUGAGAGGGUGAUCGGCCACACUGGGACUGAGACACGGCCCAGACUCCUACGGGAGGCAGCAGUAGGGAAUCUUCCGCAAUGGACGAAAGUCUGACGGAGCAACGCCGCGUGAGUGAUGAAGGUUUUCGGAUCGUAAAACUCUGUUGUUAGGGAAGAACAAGUACCGUUCGAAUAGGGCGGUACCUUGACGGUACCUAACCAGAAAGCCACGGCUAACUACGUGCCAGCAGCCGCGGUAAUACGUAGGUGGCAAGCGUUGUCCGGAAUUAUUGGGCGUAAAGCGCGCGCAGGCGGUUUCUUAAGUCUGAUGUGAAAGCCCCCGGCUCAACCGGGGAGGGUCAUUGGAAACUGGGGAACUUGAGUGCAGAAGAGGAGAGUGGAAUUCCACGUGUAGCGGUGAAAUGCGUAGAGAUGUGGAGGAACACCAGUGGCGAAGGCGACUCUCUGGUCUGUAACUGACGCUGAGGCGCGAAAGCGUGGGGAGCGAACAGGAUUAGAUACCCUGGUAGUCCACGCCGUAAACGAUGAGUGCUAAGUGUUAGAGGGUUNNCGCCCUUUAGUGCUGCAGCAAACGCAUUAAGCACUCCGCCUGGGGGAGUACGGUCGCAAGACUGAACUCAAGGAAUUGACGGGGGCCCGCACNAGCGGUGGAGCAUGUGGNUUAAUUCGAAGCAAC